rnacentral:rRNA from 1 species
AACGAACGCUGGCGGCAUGCCUAACACAUGCAAGUCGAACGAGACCUUCGGGUCUAGUGGCGCACGGGUGCGUAACGCGUGGGAACCUGCCCUUAGGUUCGGAAUAACUCCCCGAAAGGGGUGCUAAUACCGGAUAAUGUCUUCGGACCAAAGAUUUAUCGCCUUUGGAUGGGCCCGCGUUGGAUUAGCUAGUUGGUAGGGUAAAAGCCUACCAAGGCGACGAUCCAUAGCUGGUCUGAGAGGAUGAUCAGCCACACUGGGACUGAGACACGGCCCAGACUCCUACGGGAGGCAGCAGUGGGGAAAAUUGGACAAUGGGCGAAAGCCUGAUCCCGCAAUGCCGCGGGAGGGAUGAAGGCCUUAGGGUUGUAAAGCUCUUUUACCCGGGAUGAUAAUGGCAGGACCGGGAGAAUAAGCCCCGGCUAACUCCGU